rnacentral:ncRNA from 1 species
GGGCACGUUGGAAGCCAAAAUCCAUGGGCGGUAGCGUG